rnacentral:rRNA from 1 species
CUGUUUUGCGACUGAAACAAUGGUUAACAGGAACAGUCGGGGGCAUUCGUAUCGCUACGCGAGAGGUGAAAUUCGUGGACCGUAGCGGGACGCCCAAAAGCGAAGGCACUUGCCAAGAGUGUUUUCAUUAAUCAAGAACGAAAGUCAGAGGGUCGAAGGCGAUUAGAUACCGCCCUAGUUCUGACCGUAAACUAUGCCAACUGCCGAUCCGCUUGUGGAUUUCAUUCAUAAGCGGGGAGGUUCCCGGAAACGAAAGUUUUUCGGUUCCGGGGGAAGUAUGGUUGCAAAACUGAAACUUAAAGGAAUUGACGGAAGGGCACCACCAGGAGUGGAGCUUGCGGCUUAAUUUGACUCAACACGGGAAAUCUCACCCGGCCAGUACAUUGUAAGGAUUGACAGAUUGAUAGCUCUUUCAUGAUUCGGUGAAUGGUGGUGCAUGGCCGUUCUUAGUUCGUGGAUUGAUUUGUCUGGUUUAUUCCGAUAACGAGCGAGACUUUGACUAUUAAAUAGUGCGAUUGUUUCAAUUUGGUGCAAUUGAACACUUCUUAAAAGAAUUUGGGGUUUCCAACCUCAAGAGAUUGAGCAAUAACAGGUCUGUGAUGCCCUUAGAUGUUCGGGGCUGCACGCGUGCUACAAUGAUGGUAACAGCGUGAUUGUCCUUUUCCGAAAGGAAUUGGCAAACAGUUGAGAUAUUAUUAUGGCUGGAAUUGAGUGUUGAAAUUUUCUCUCAUGAACGAGGAAUUCCAAGUAAAUGUGAGUCAUCAACUCGCAUUGAUUACGUCCCUGCCCUUUGUACACACCGCCCGUCGCUGCCCGGGACUGGGUUAUCUCGAGAAAGCUAGGGAUUGUCGAAUUCACUAACAACUUGUUGUUGGCAUUCGGUGAGAACGA